AGAAAAUCCGUUGGCUUAAGUGACCGUGAGGGUUCAAGUCCCUCUUCCCCC
rnacentral:tRNA from 1 species